UCACCAAGAUUCAGCCGGCCGUGCUCUCUCCAAUGUAACUCACCCAUUAGCUGGCGGAUGUCCAAGGGAGAGGGGUCCUUUUAGCAAUUUCUGCCCUGAAUUAAUACAUAAAUACCAUCAGGAGGGAUUUUUCGACUACAUAUGAAUUAGGAAGAAAGGCCAUGGAAAAAAAAUAUGUUUUGUAUAUAUUUGUGUGUUUACUGUCAUUUUAUUCUGCAUUUACUGCAAGUGUGUUAUUCAGUUAAAUUAUUCAUCUGUACAGGCAGUACUUCAUCAGCAUAUAUCUACUCACACUAUGGCUUUCAAGAAUCUGGUAGCAUCACAAAGACUCAGGCAGGAAUAUAUAGUCAGGAGACCAGGUGCAGCGAUCCAAGUAAUAGGGGCAGCUGCAGGUGUUGCUGAUCAGGCUUUUUUUUACAGGAGCUAAGUGGGAGUGAGGUAACUGUCUCUGCAGAGAAACUCACAGAAGAAUUGCUGAUCUUUACAAGUUGAGAGCUUCAGGGAGGAGCUGAGCUGUUACUGAACUUUAGAAGAGAGACACAAACUUCCACAUUCAACCCAGUUCACCACACCAACAUCAACUCUGCUCAUCAUGGACUAUUAUGGACUUUCUCUGCUCAACAUGCUGCCUUUGCUCACAUCUCUGCUAGUUCUGAUCACUGGAGGUGUAAACUGUCAACAACUCACUGCACUGAAGACUGAGGAGUCCACUUCAGAGGGCGGUUCUGUUACUCUGUCCUGCAAUUAUGCCAAAGGUUCUGUGGAAGUUUUGUUCUGGUAUCGACUAUAUCCAGAGAAACCUCCAGAGUUCCUGAAGUCUCACUCACCUUUUGGUGAAGCAGAACAUCUGGACAGAAUGAAAUUUGAAGCCAGCCGAGACGACAUGAACAUGACGAUCUCCUCUGCUGCAGUGACAGACUCUGCUGUGUACUACUGUGCUGUGAGGCCCACAGUGACAGGAAACAGCAGAACUCUGUACAAGAACCUGCAGUACUCCACAACAUCCACUAGAGGGCCUCACAGGCUGCUCCACCUCUGGUUUGUCAGGAUUCAGUCUGAUUGAGCUGCUGAGAGAAAGCAGACAUCAGAGGCUUUGCUGCAUCAUUGAACAGUUUGGAUCAGAAAGGAGGAGGAUGGUUCUCAGCUGUGGUCUUUGGGACAAACUAGUUUUUGAUUUUGGAUAAACCAGAUAUACCGGAAUCACUGCAUGCUUGUGGUUACCUGAGCUGGGGCUUUGUCAAAUCAACCAA